UCUUAUGAAUGAGCAAAAAUAGUAGCUUCUGGAGAUGGAAUCUACUGCUGCUGAAGACGCUGUGAA
rnacentral:pre_miRNA from 1 species